rnacentral:misc_RNA from 1 species
GAUGAAGAACGCAGUGAAAUGCGAUAAGUAAUGUGAAUUGCAGAAUUCAGUGAAUCAUCGAAUCUUUGAACGCACAUUGCGCCCCCUGGUAUUCCGGGGGGCAUGCCUGUCCGAGCGUCAUUACAACCCUCAAGCUCAGCUUGGUGUUGGGCCCCGCCGCCCCGGCGGGCCCUAAAGUCAGUGGCGGUGCCGUCCGGCUCCGAGCGUAGUAAUUCUUCUCGCUCUGGAGGUCCGGUCGUGUGCUCGCCAGCAACCCCCAAUUUUUUUCAGGUUGACCUCGGAUCAGGUAGGGAUACCCGCUGAACUUAAGCAUAUCAAUAAGCGGAGGA